GAUGCAUUGUGGUAGUUUUAUAAAUACUUGGUAAAAAGAAGACACGGGGGCAUCUAAUUAGAAGGAACCAGGGGCGUUUCAGGGAUAACAUCAACCCCACCCUCUUUCUCUUUCUCUAUCUCCCCCUUCGUCCCGCAUUUCUCUCCAGAUCGAUUGUAGAAAUCGAUUUGUAACGCUACAACCAUCGAUAGUUUAUCUGCUGCCACCAGUCUCCUAUGGAAUUACACCUACAAUCGCUCACGACAAUAAUGAAAUCGAUUUAUACAAUCAGCGGAUCUUCAUCACUUUCCUCCAGCCUUCAUGUUUCAUCCAAGCAAUCAGUACAAUCGAUUUCUUCAGAUCACAUGUUGUUGAACGUCGAUUCCACUUGUAUUCUCACUGAUCACGUCUUCGGCAAGGUCCGUGAACUCGACCUUGCUCAAUCUCGCGUAAAUGAAACCCUAAGCUUCUCGUUGGAGCUCUUAAAGCUCGUAAGAACGACAUUCCUGUGAAGACUUUAUUGACGAUAUGCGAGGGUCGUGAAGGUGCAGAGCUAUCAGAUGGAGAUGUAUUGCUUUUCCCUGAAAUUGUUAAGUACAGGUAAUCUACGACUCAGGGUUGAGUGAAUGAAUUGAGUCCGUCAGCCUCCGAAUUGACCUCAAACACGAACUCUUUGACUGUUGAUAAUUAUAAAGGAAGGUUACAUCAGAUUGAAGAUUCAGCGAAGAGACCCUAACCAACUGGAGUUGUGUUAGGCGUGUCAAACCCAACAAAUAAAGGGGUACAAUAGACUCCAAAUACGCUGCUUUAAUGCAGUAAAAAGUAGUACAAGGCAAGCAGGGUUGAACCACAGAGACACGGGACAAAAGUCUAUACCCCGUUGCGCAAGGUACUUUGAUCACAAGAAGGGAGAUUUGUUUGCAAAAGUGAAAUAAUAAAAUAACAAUCAACUUUGGAACAUGUAGAAAAUGAAAUAGAUUUGUAAACAAGUUGUAAAAGUGCUUCCAGUUCUAGUUCUCAAUGUUGUUGUUCAACUUGAUUAUGAGUUGAUGUAAUUCAAUAUUGCUAUUCUAAGCUGGUACUGAAAGAUAUUAACACGGUCUAAUACCUCUCGCUUGUCAAAUUAUCUAACCAAAAUACGCUCUUUGACUAGACCUGGCUUCACUAAUUCAACCUAAACACGCUCUUAGAUUGUAUUGAAAAACCGCAUUAAGUUUUGUACAAGCUUCCCAACAAUGUUCAUUUCUUCUCAUACGCUCGGAAGUGUGAAAGCAUGUGAUAUAUGUUUUACAAUAGAAAACUUAUUGCUUGUUACCAAUUAUUAACUUAAUAGAACGAUUAGGUGCCCUAAAAGUUAAUUAACUCCACAAAAACUCAAUUCAUGAAAAUGGCCAAUCAAACACAAAUCAAAUUUAGGGUUCUAGUUUAAACAAAAACAUAAUCACUAGAAUAGAAUCACAAAUCAAACAUCAAAUCAUAUGCUUCAAGUCAAGCAAUCAACAUGUUCUGAACAAGAACUAGAAACUAGGGUUCUUAGCCACACAUGGCUAAGAACAAAUCAAGCAAGAAAUAAGAUGGAAAAAUGUGCAAUUACAACUUACAAAUACUAGAAAUAAUGUUUCCAAAUGAUUAAUGAUCAAUCCCUUGCAAUAACCUUCGAAAUCCCCUCUCAAAAUGUGCUCUGGUAAGUUGUGUGUGUGUAAAACUGGCCCUUAACCCGUAAUAUGAAAGGCAGGAAAAAUUGCCAAAAGUUGGUUUCUGGGUCGAACACGGCCCGUGUUGGACUUAGAGUAAAACUGACACGGCCCGUGUUCAGCAUGGUCAACAGCUCCCAUUUUGGUCAACACGACCCGUGUUGGACAUAGAGUAAAACUGACACGGCCCGUGUUCAGCAUGGUCAACAGCUCCCAUUUUGGUCAACACGGCGCGUGUUGAUUUUGCAGUGUAAAUCCAACACGGCCCCUGUACGCCUCUGGCUCCGAAUCCAAACUUGAUUUUUCUAACUUUUUCGUUCUUCGCCCGAUCAUCCCGAAAUCUUCACCAAUGCUUCCCGGCACCUCCCAAAGUGCAUUCCAAGCUCCGAUUUACCUGGAAAAGACAUGAAAAUGUGCAAAUAAGGUUGUUCUAGACACUAACAUGAAUUAUGAUGAAAUGUAAGACAAAUGAAGGACAAUUAUGCUAAAUAGAUGCAUAAGAAGGGAUUAAAAUAUGUGCAAAAUGGUGCACAAAAUGCACCUAAAAAAUCUCCCCAAGCUUAGACCUUUCUUGUCCCCAAGAAAGAACAAGAAUCAGACAAAACAGGAUGAUUUUAGAUGGCAAAAAGAAACAUAGAGCGAAAAGGGACAGAAGGAUCCUAAAGGCUAGGAAUGAAUGCAUGCAAUGAAAACCAUGAAAAAGAAAGAA